rnacentral:rRNA from 1 species
AGUGAACGCUGGCGGUAGGCCUAACACAUGCAAGUCGAACGGCAGCACAGUAAGAGCUUGCUCUUACGGGUGGCGAGUGGCGGACGGGUGAGGAAUACAUCGGAAUCUACUUUUUCGUGGGGGAUAACGUAGGGAAACUUACGCUAAUACCGCAUACGACCUACGGGUGAAAGCAGGGGAUCUUCGGACCUUGCGCGAUUGAAUGAGCCGAUGUCGGAUUAGCUAGUUGGCGGGGUAAAGGCCCACCAAGGCGACGAUCCGUAGCUGGUCUGAGAGGAUGAUCAGCCACAAUGGAACUGAGACACGGUCCAGACUCCUAAGGGAGGCAGCAGUGGGGAAUAUUGGACAAUGGGCGCAAGCCUGAUCCAGCCAUACCGCGUGGGUGAAGAAGGCCUUCGGGUUGUAAAGCCCUUUUGUUGGGAAAGAAAAGCAGCAGGUUGAUACCCCGCUGUUCUGACGGUACCCAAAGAAUAAGCACCGGCUAACUUCGUG